CCUCCCCUCGCUCGCUCUCUCCCUCACAAACCCCUCUCUGUCUUGCAACCUCUCCCUCCCCCCCAUGAACCUCUCUCCCUCGCCGCCACCCACCACCCACAUCGGCCAGUUCCGUCGAGCUUCGGCGGCGCGUAUCACACCCCCGAGCUCCCCUAUGUCCGCACCUCCUUCCCCUCCGGCUAGAAUCAGCGCUCAAGCCGUCCACCAGCCCCCGUGGUAGCUAGGGUUUCGGCCGCCACCCCUUACCUGGCCGGGAUCCGCCACAUCCGGCGACGUCGAGGCCAGCGGGCGCCGGAUCCGUCACCGGCGUGCUCAGAAGCAGGACAGGCACAGAUGGAGGAACACCGUCUUCAUACCCUGCCCCGACGCCAAAGGUGAUUGCGUCAAAGAUAUGGAGGCGUUCAGGAAGCGGGCGGGCAAGUUCAAGGAGCAAGUUGCCAAGCAGCAGCAGAUAAUAUAUUUGAGUACGCGGAUGCCGGAGGGGUCGUGCCUGAGGAGACCGAGCUCGCCAUGCUGCUCCUUUUCAAUGCCAACAAGGGAAGGGCCGACGAGGAGAACAGGGUCCCUACACCAAGAAGUUAGGUUUCCCUGGCUGCUCGGUAGUUCUCGGACAGCUCCCUAAUUUUCCUUGGUCUUGUAGGUAACUGGCGCAACAGCUGUAACUUGAGACGCUGGACUGGAGGAAGGAUCAUGAGGAGAACAACUACACAAUGUUGUGGAUGAACAGGAUGAUGGGAGGGUGAAUCAGAUCUAGGAGCACAUCGACUACGAGGUUUGCCGACACGACAAGUACCGUAUAUGUGUCUACUCAUCCAACCUGUUGUUCUCGCAGAUUUUCACCUAGGGCAUUUGCAUCCCCAUGAUUAGGCGUGAUUGUCAGGUCCUUAAAUGGAGAACAUUCUUCUGAUCGUAAUGGAGAUGCAGGUGGAUGAUGAUUAUUCAUCUGUGUGAAGGACGAAAUGCUUCUCGGAAUUCUUAAAGAGGAAGACAAUGGAGCCAUGAUGUUGUUGUGCAACAGGCUAUGUUUUUUGCAAUACCAUUUGUCUUGGCUGUGUAUCUUACUUUGUGUGUGCUGGGAUACUCAAAAAGCUAUCUCUGUAAUUUAAAUCUGUGUUAUGUUGUCUGGCGUGUGUAACCUUAUUUUGUGUGUGCUGGGAUACUCAAAAAGAUAUCUGUCUAAUUUAAAUCUGUGUUAUGUUGUCUGGCGUGUGUAA